rnacentral:rRNA from 1 species
UACGUAGGUGGCGAGCGUUGUCCGGAUUUACUGGGCGUAAAGAGCGCGCAGGCGGUCGUUCAAGUCGCGUGUGAAAGCCCCCGGCUCAACUGGGGAGGGUCACGCGAUACUGAUCGACUCGAAGGCAGGAGAGGGUAGUGGAAUUCCCGGUGUAGUGGUGAAAUGCGUAGAUAUCGGAAGGAACAUCAGUGGCGAAAGCGACUGCCUGGACCAAUACUGACGCUCAUGUGCGAAAGCGUGGGGAGCAAACAGG